UUAAGUUAUUAAGGGCGCACGGUGGAUGCCUUGGCACUAGAAGCCGAUGAAGGACGUUACUAACGACGAUAUGCUUUGGGGAGCUGUAAGUAAGCUUUGAUCCAGAGAUUUCCGAAUGGGGAAACCCAGCAUGAGUUAUGUCAUGUUAUCGAUAUGUGAAUACAUAGCAUAUCAGAAGGCACACCCGGAGAACUGAAACAUCUUAGUACCCGGAGGAAGAGAAAGAAAAUUCGAUUCCCUUAGUAGCGGCGAGCGAAACGGGAAGAGCCCAAACCAACAAGCUUGCUUGUUGGGGUUGUAGGACACUCUAUACGGAGUUACAAAGGACGACAUUAGACGAAUCAUCUGGAAAGAUGAAUCAAAGAAGGUAAUAAUCCUGUAGUCGAAAAUGUUGUCUCUCUUGAGUGGAUCCUGAGUACGACGGAGCACGUGAAAUUCCGUCGGAAUCUGGGAGGACCAUCUCCUAAGGCUAAAUACUCUCUAGUGACCGAUAGUGAACCAGUACCGUGAGGGAAAGGUGAAAAGCACCCCGGAAGGGGAGUGAAAUAGAACCUGAAACCGUGUGCUUACAAGUAGUCAGAGCCCGUUAAUGGGUGAUGGCGUGCCUUUUGUAGAAUGAACCGGCGAGUUACGAUUUGAUGCAAGGUUAAGCAGUAAAUGUGGAGCCGUAGCGAAAGCGAGUCUGAAUAGGGCGUUUAGUAUUUGGUCGUAGACCCGAAACCAGGUGAUCUACCCUUGGUCAGGUUGAAGUUCAGGUAACACUGAAUGGAGGACCGAACCGACUUACGUUGAAAAGUGAGCGGAUGAACUGAGGGUAGCGGAGAAAUUCCAAUCGAACCUGGAGAUAGCUGGUUCUCUCCGAAAUAGCUUUAGGGCUAGCCUCAAGUGAUGAUUAUUGGAGGUAGAGCACUGUUUGGACGAGGGGCCCCUCUCGGGUUACCGAAUUCAGACAAACUCCGAAUGCCAAUUAAUUUAACUUGGGAGUCAGAACAUGGGUGAUAAGGUCCGUGUUCGAAAGGGAAACAGCCCAGACCACCAGCUAAGGUCCCAAAAUAUAUGUUAAGUGGAAAAGGAUGUGGCGUUGCCCAGACAACUAGGAUGUUGGCUUAGAAGCAGCCAUCAUUUAAAGAGUGCGUAAUAGCUCACUAGUCGAGUGACACUGCGCCGAAAAUGUACCGGGGCUAAACAUAUUACCGAAGCUGUGGAUUGUCCUUUGGACAAUGGUAGGAGAGCGUUCUAAGGGCGUUGAAGCAUGAUCGUAAGGACAUGUGGAGCGCUUAGAAGUGAGAAUGCCGGUGUGAGUAGCGAAAGACGGGUGAGAAUCCCGUCCACCGAUUGACUAAGGUUUCCAGAGGAAGGCUCGUCCGCUCUGGGUUAGUCGGGUCCUAAGCUGAGGCCGACAGGCGUAGGCGAUGGAUAACAGGUUGAUAUUCCUGUACCACCUAUAAUCGUUUUAAUCGAUGGGGGGACGCAGUAGGAUAGGCGAAGCGUGCGAUUGGAUUGCACGUCUAAGCAGUAAGGCUGAGUAUUAGGCAAAUCCGGUACUCGUUAAGGCUGAGCUGUGAUGGGGAGAAGACAUUGAGUCUUCGAGUCGUUGAUUUCACACUGCCGAGAAAAGCCUCUAGAUAGAAAAUAGGUGCCCGUACCGCAAACCGACACAGGUAGUCAAGAUGAGAAUUCUAAGGUGAGCGAGCGAACUCUCGUUAAGGAACUCGGCAAAAUGACCCCGUAACUUCGGGAGAAGGGGUGCUCUUUAGGGUUAACGCCCAGAAGAGCCGCAGUGAAUAGGCCCAAGCGACUGUUUAUCAAAAACACAGGUCUCUGCUAAACCGUAAGGUGAUGUAUAGGGGCUGACGCCUGCCCGGUGCUGGAAGGUUAAGAGGAGUGGUUAGCUUCUGCGAAGCUACGAAUCGAAGCCCCAGUAAACGGCGGCCGUAACUAUAACGGUCCUAAGGUAGCGAAAUUCCUUGUCGGGUAAGUUCCGACCCGCACGAAAGGCGUAACGAUUUGGGCACUGUCUCAACGAGAGACUCGGUGAAAUCAUAGUACCUGUGAAGAUGCAGGUUACCCGCGACAGGACGGAAAGACCCCGUGGAGCUUUACUGUAGCCUGAUAUUGAAAUUCGGCACAGCUUGUACAGGAUAGGUAGGAGCCUUUGAAACGUGAGCGCUAGCUUACGUGGAGGCGCUGGUGGGAUACUACCCUAGCUGUGUUGGCUUUCUAACCCGCACCACUUAUCGUGGUGGGAGACAGUGUCAAGCGGGCAGUUUGACUGGGGCGGUCGCCUCCUAAAAGGUAACGGAGGCGCUCAAAGGUUCCCUCAGAAUGGUUGGAAAUCAUUCAUAGAGUGCAAAGGCAUAAGGGAGCUUGACUGCGAGACCUACAAGUCGAGCAGGGUCGAAAGACGGACUUAGUGAUCCGGUGGUUCCGCAUGGAAGGGCCAUCG
rnacentral:rRNA from 1 species